UUCUCUCGCCCCAUUACUUGUGAGGCCAGCUCCAUGAUACAGCUGUUGAGGUGAUCUGAGGAGAAAGUUAUCUCCCCUCCUUCCCCUUCUUUGGCAUUCGACAUAAGACGUUUCCACAGAUCUGUUGACAACGCAGACUCCUCCCGCGCUCUUUCUGCAGUGACAAGAGUCAUCUCCCUUGCAAUCUUCUUCCGGAUCUCCAUGAUUUGAUGACAUUCAAAUGUUUCCAGCAACUUGAUCAGCUGUAAAAUAAAAUGAAACCAAAUUCCCCUAACAUCUACAGAUAAGAACCAGCCAACUUUUAACUUGUCCCAGUACAACAGGGACCAGACGCCAUUUUCCCCAGUCAAACUUAAGGAACUCCAGACAUUUCCAUUGCAUGAGGAAGAACUUCAGCAGACGGUAUGCCUCUAUUGGCUGUUGAGUCCGAGAAAGACUUUUGCUUCCAGUGGCUGUG